rnacentral:tRNA from 1 species
CGCGGUAGCUCAGCCUGGUAGAGCUUCCGGCUGUAGACCGGAGUGUCGCAGGUUCAAAUCCUGCCCGCGGGACCA